CAUGCAAGUCGAGCGAACCUUCGGGUUAGUGGCGGACGGGUGAGUAACGCGUGAGAAUCUGCCCUCAGGAGGGGGAUAACAGUUGGAAACGACUGCUAAUACCCCAUAUGCCGAGAGGUGAAAUGAAUUUCGCCUGGGGAUGAGCUCGCGUCUGAUUAGCUUGUUGGUGGGGUAAUAGCCUACCAAGGCUUCGAUCAGUAGCUGGUCUGAGAGGACGAUCAGCCACAUUGGGACUGGGACACGGCCCAGACUCCUACGGGAGGCAGCAGUGGGGAAUUUUCCGCAAUGGGCGAAAGCCUGACGGAGCAACGCCGCGUGAGGGAUGGAGGCCUUUGGGCUGUAAACCUCUUUUCUCAAGGAAGAAGAUCUGACGGUACUUGAGGAAUAAGCCACGGCUAAUUCCGUGCCAGCAGCCGCGGUAAUACGGGAGUGGCAAGCGUUAUCCGGAAUUAUUGGGCGUAAAGCGUCCGCAGGCGGCCGUUUAAGUCUGUUGUUAAAUCGUGGAGCUCAACUCCAUCACGGCAAUGGAAACUGUUCGGCUUGAGUAUGGUAGGGGCAGAGGGAAUUUCCGGUGUAGCGGUGAAAUGCGUAGAUAUCGGGAAGAACACCAGUGGCGAAAGCGCUCUGCUGGGCCAUUACUGACG
rnacentral:rRNA from 1 species